CUGAACUUCCAUCCUCGUGGAAGAGUUAAGCAAAUAAUUACUGAUCUGGAACGGAGUUCUCCCCAAAAGAGACAAAGCUGUGCAUGUGAUCAUCGAUGAGGGGAAUUAAGUACUCCAAUCAUACACAUAAAUAAAAGGAAUUAUGUCCUAACCAGCUUAAUGAAAGAAGCAAAACUCUUAAGUCAUUACUGGAGUUGCUGCAGCAGGAGACGUUACAAAUGAAUGGUCCUCCUUACUGUCAGAAGAAACACCUGGCUCCAAGGGGCUUGUGUCGUCCCCAGCAGGUAGGAAAACAGGGUGAUGUUUGAUCCUGAUGAAGCAAUGAAAUUAAACCGCAGGGAGAUGCAGAAUGUCCUAGAAAAAUAUGCUCAAUGCCAGCACUUGGUUUACUUACUGGUUGUAAUCUUCCCAGCAGGUCCUGAGACAUGGUGUCAAAUGAGAGACAAGAAAAAAAGAAA